CCUACGGGAGGCAGCAGUGGGGAAUCUUGCACAAUGGAGGAAACUCUGAUGCAGCGAUGCCGCGUGAGUGAAGAAGGCCUUUGGGUUGUAAAGCUCUUUUGUAGGGGAAGAUAAUGACUGUACCCUAAGAAUAAGGUCCGGCUAACUUCGUGCCAGCAGCCGCGGUAAUACGAAGGGACCUAGCGUAGUUCGGAAUUACUGGGCGUAAAGCGCGCGUAGGCCGUUGAGUUAGUUAAUUGUGAAAUCCCAAAGCUUAACUUUGGAACUGCAAUUAAAACUGCUCGACUAGAGUUUGAUAGAGGAAAGCGGAAUACAUAGUGUAGAGGUGAAAUUCGUAGAUAUUAUGUAGAACACCAGUUGCGAAGGCGGCUUUCUGGAUCAACACUGACGCUGAGGCGCGAAAGUAUGGGUAGCAAAGAGGAUUAGAUACCCUCGUAGUCCAUACCAUAAACGAUGAUUGCUAGAUGUUGGAAAUUUAUUUUCAGUAUCGCAGCUAACGCAUUAAGCAAUCCGCCUGGGGAGUACGACCGCAAGGUUAAAACCUUAAAGAUAUGCGNGNGAGNGCGACGACGACGACGAGGAGGAGGAG
rnacentral:rRNA from 1 species